CCUAUACAUGCAGUCGAGCGGACCGACGGGAGCUUGCUCCCUUAGGUCAGCGGCGGACGGGUGAGUAACACGUGGGUAACCUGCCUGUAAGACUGGGAUAACUCCGGGAAACCGGGGCUAAUACCGGAUGCUUGAUUGAACCGCAUGGUUCAAUCAUAAAAGGUGGCUUUUAGCUACCACUUACAGAUGGACCCGCGGCGCAUUAGCUAGUUGGUGAGGUAACGGCUCACCAAGGCGACGAUGCGUAGCCGACCUGAGAGGGUGAUCGGCCACACUGGGACUGAGACACGGCCCAGACUCCUACGGGAGGCAGCAGUAGGGAAUCUUCCGCAAUGGACGAAAGUCUGACGGAGCAACGCCGCGUGAGUGAUGAAGGUUUUCGGAUCGUAAAACUCUGUUGUUAGGGAAGAACAAGUACCGUUCGAAUAGGGCGGUACCUUGACGGUACCUAACCAGAAAGCCACGGCUAACUACGUGCCAGCAGCCGCGGUAAUACGUAGGUGGCAAGCGUUGUCCGGAAUUAUUGGGCGUAAAGCGCGCGCAGGCGGUUUCUUAAGUCUGAUGUGAAAGCCCCCGGCUCAACCGGGGAGGGUCAUUGGAAACUGGGGAACUUGAGUGCAGAAGAGGAGAGUGGAAUUCCACGUGUAGCGGUGAAAUGCGUAGAGAUGUGGAGGAACACCAGUGGCGAAGGCGACUCUCUGGUCUGUAACUGACGCUG
rnacentral:rRNA from 1 species